UGAGUCAGCCAGAUGACCGCAUUUUAGGAAACUGCACUUUGGUGUAAGUCUGCGAUGAGGAAAGUCCGGACUCCAUAGAGCAGGGUGGUUGCUAACAGCAACCCGGGGCGACUCGCGGGAAAGUGCCACAGAAAAGAUACCGCCACUUCGGUGGUAAGGGUGAAAUGGUGCGGUAAGAGCGCACCAGUGUUGUCGGUGACGGCAGCAGCUUGGUAAACCCCACCUGGAGCAAGGCUAAAGGUAUGCACCCUUAGGGGUGGUACCGCGCACACGUUUGACGGCUGCUCGCUGGAGUGUGCGGGUGAGCCGCUUGAGAUACCCGGCGACGGAGUAUCCAGAUGGAUGGUCGUCUCCCAGGAGCAGCGUUCUUGGGAACAAAAUCCGGCUUAUCGGUUGACUCAUUCG
rnacentral:RNase_P_RNA from 1 species